UGUUAUUUUUGUUUGUGUGGUGUGUGUUUUUCCUUACCUACCUUUUUAAUUUAGUGGUAGGCAACUUGAUACCCUCCAGAUGUUUUGGUCUACAACUCCCAUAAUUAUCAACUAGUGGCCAUGCAAGCUCAGUCUUACUUUACCAAACUUUUUGGAAGUUACUACUCUUCCCCAAAGCCUGUCCCCUGCCCCGAGGGUGCUUCUCAGCCUCGCUGACGUCAAGUGAAGAUGUUGGGCAUAUGUUAAAAGCUUUAAGUGGAAAAAUUGGUGCAGACGAAAAAGAGAUAUUGUGGACGAUGGAGGCAGCGAGAGUAGUUUGAUGCCAAGACCGACAAUUAUAUUUGUUCAACCUGCCUCAACCUCAAUGGAUAUUACUGAAGAACCCAGAAAAAGAGGUUACUUUUCAAAAGAUGAUACA